rnacentral:rRNA from 1 species
AUGUGCAGAGGGGCGGUGGACGACGUCGGCCCGCGGCGGCUCGAGGUGCGGGCGUUCUACCUCCGCCUGUCCUCGUCAUCCACGCCCACGUCGGCGCCGCCAGCGGAGCUCACGCUCGUAUACCGCCCGGCCAUGGGCGGCGCAGCGCUGGAGCUGGGCGGCCGCGCGCUCCCGCCGGCGUGCCCCGCCGAGGUCACCCUCCUGCGCAUGCGCGGCAACGACGAUGUGCAUGUGCCGGCGUACGCGAGCGCGGACCGCGUCUCGGCUCCCGAGGGCGCGCGGUUCGAGGUGUACGCCGCCGGGAAGAAGGAGCUCGCGGCGGAGGGCGCCUUCGCGCGGCGCAAUGGCGGGUGGCUCGUCGAGUGCCGCCGCCCGGUCGCGUCGCGCUCGCGGGUGGCGGAGGUGCUGGUCGUCGCGGAGGGCGGCGUGGUCGUAAGAGCCAGGGCAAGGACGUUGGCGGCGAGGACGAUUGGGUGCGCCACGCGGCUCGAGGGGAUACCGGAGGAGGAGGCGGGCCCGUGCGACUGCGGGGCAUGCGGAGACGAGUGGGAGAUGGUCGGCCACAGCGACGACGAGUUCAAGGAGCACGAGGAGGAGGUGGAGGCGGAAGCGAUGCGGUGGGCGCUGGAGAUGGGCGCCUGGGCCGUGUGCGUCGGGGUCGGGCUGCUCGCCACCGCCCGCCGGUUCAGCCCGAGGCGGCCCGCGCUACGGUGA